UACAGAGGGGGCAAGCGUUAUUCGGAAUUAUUGGGCGUAAAGGGCGCGUAGGCGGCCUGACAAGUGGAAGGUGAAAUCCCUCGGCUUAACCGAGGAACUGCCCUCCAAACUGUCUGGCUUGAGACCGGGAGAGGUGAGUGGAAUUCCCAGUGUAGCGGUGAAAUGCGUAGAUAUUGGGAGGAACACCAGUGGCGAAGGCGGCUCACUGGACCGGUACUGACGCUGAGGCGCGAAAGCUAGGGGAGCAAACGGG
rnacentral:rRNA from 1 species